rnacentral:misc_RNA from 1 species
CAGAAGAAAGAACCAGAAAUUGACAGAAGAAAGAAAUUUAAUUCAAGAAUUCAAGAAAGAAAGAGGAAGAUGAACCUGAUUCUUCAAGAAGGAAAGAAGAAGAUAAAGGAAUGAAAGGAAGAAAUCUCAGUAAAAGAGGAAGAAGAAAUUUCAGGGAGAGAAGGAAGAAGAAACUGAAGGGAGAAAGGGAAGAAAUUUUAGGGAGAGAGG